UGGUAUAUAGUUUAAACAAAACGAAUGAUUUCGACUCAUUAAAUUAUGAUAAUCAUAUUUACCAA
rnacentral:tRNA from 10 species